UACGUAGGGACCAAGCGUCGUUCGGAUUUACUGGGCGUAAAGGGCGCGUAGGCGGCGUGGUAAGUCACUUGUGAAAUCUCUGAGCUUAACUCAGAACGGCCAAGUGAUACUGCUGUGCUAGAGUGCAGAAGGGGCAAUCGGAAUUCUUGGUGUAGCGGUGAAAUGCGUAGAUAUCAAGAGGAACACCUGAGGUGAAGACGGGUUGCUGGGCUGACACUGACGCUGAUGCGCGAAAGCCAGGGGAGCAAACGGG
rnacentral:rRNA from 1 species